rnacentral:ncRNA from 1 species
UAUUGAUCAUAAAGGGCACGUAGACAGUGAAUUAGUCGAAAGCAAAAGUCACCAAAAAUUAAUGGAAAGCUCUUGAAACCAAUUCACUUGCGUAAGAGAGAGGAGAGUGAAAUUUCGUGUGCUUGAGAGAAAUCUAGAGAUCUACGAAGGAACCCCAAAAGUGAAUGCCGUAGGUCCCUACUGAUAUGCUGGGUGUAAAAGCACGAAGAGUGAACAAGAUUUGAUAACUUUGUAUCCAAUGUUGCAAACGAUGAGCGAU